UAGCUGCACUGGAGCCUUAAAAAUGGCUGAAUAUUCAGUUGCAAUUCAUUUCUAGAAUCUACCAUUAAUGGAGGAUUUUCGUAAGGAAUCCCAAGAGCAGAAUCCAGAUGUCAAGUCAAUGCGUGAUAUUGGCAAGGCAUGCGGAGAGGAGUGGAAAACAAUGACAUAUGAGAUCUUGCAGCACUCUAGUAAGGAGGCACUGUGUUAGUUUCAAGCUUAUGGACUGAAAUUCAGGAUUUAGUAAAAAGUUUGUGGU